rnacentral:rRNA from 1 species
UUUUUUGAGAGUUUGAUCCUGGCUCAGGAUGAACGCUGGCGGCGUGCCUUAUGCAUGCAAGUCGAUCGAUUUUUGCGCAAGCAAACGUAGAGGCGGACGGGUGAGGAUAAGCAAGGAACGUACCUCAAACUUCAGCAUAGCUCGUCGAAAGACGGGGUAAUGCGGAAUGUGGAUGUGAGUCUAAAGGGCGUAACAACCCGGUUUGAGAGCGGCCUUGUGACUAUCAGCUAGUUGGUAGGGUAAAGGCCUACCAAGGCUAUGACGGUUAGGGGGCGUGAGAGCGCGACCCCCCACAAUGGCACUGAGACACGGGCCAUACAACUACGGUUGGCAGCAACAGGGAAUCGUUGGCAAUGGACGCAAGUCUGACCACGCGACGCCGCGUGAGGGAUGAAGGCUUUCGGGUCGUAAACCUCUUUUGCUCCGCCAUCGAGGCGGGGAGAAUAAGCACCUACAAACUACGUGCCAGCAGUCGCGGUAAUACGUAGGGUGCAAGCGUUAUCCGGAUUCACUGGGCGUAAAGUGUAGUGUAGGCGGUAACCCGCAUCGUGCUUGAAAGCCCGAGGCUUAACCUCGGCAUUGGGCACGAGAUGGGGUCACUGGAGGGAGGCAGAGGAAUGGGGAACUCAUGGUGAAGCAGUGAAAUGCGUUGAUAUCAUGAGGAACACCAAAGGCGAAGGCACCAUUCUGGGCCUCUCCUGACGCUGAGACACGAAAGCUAGGGGAGCGAAGCAGAUUAGAGACCUGCGUAGUCCUAGCCCUAAACGCAUGCCUGCUAGUUGCCCCGAGCAAUCGGGGUGACGUAAGCUAACGCGUUAAGCAGGCCGCCUGGGGAGUACGAUCGCAAGAUUAAAACUCAAAGGAAUUGACGGGGACCCGCACAACCGGUGGAGCGUGUGGUUCAAUUCGAGACAAAGCGAAAGACCUCACCAGGUCUUGACA